rnacentral:rRNA from 1 species
UACGAAGGGUGCAAGCGUUGUUCGGAUUUAUUGGGCGUAAAGCGCGCGCAGGCGGGAUUGUGUGUCAGAUGUGAAAUCUCGGAGCUCAACUCCGAACGUGCGUCUGAAACUGCAGUUCUAGAAUGCUGGAGGGGGAAGGGGAAUUUCACGUGUAGGGGUAAAAUCCGUAGAGAUGUGAAGGAACACCGGAGGCGAAGGCGCCUUCCUGGCCAGUUAUUGACGCUGAGGCGCGAAAGCGUGGGGAUCAAACAGG